GUUAUCUACACCUUCGAGACUGAGCAAUAGAUGAACGAAUCGAGUCUAUUUGGGUAGGAAGUGACUGUGUGUGACUCCUCAAAACAAAGGGAUUGUGGAGACCCCACCGUCAGCUGUGUGUGUACUUUAAACUCCUCCAACAGAAGGGGCAGGAUGAACUGACCCAGUCACUCCCUAUGCUGGCCUACGAUGUUCUUCCACAUCCCCUGUACACAGUCCCGUGCAUCACUUUCUUGAAGAUCAAGUGUGUG
ensembl:lncRNA novel transcript, antisense to SOX7 and PINX1